CCCCGACCAGGCCCAGGACUAGGUCGAGGCCUGGCGAGCGGACCGAGGCGGGGUCAGGCUCGAAGCUCUGCUUGCUCUCCUGCCUCUCCCUCCCUCGGAAAAGUGUCUACUCUUUUGAGGGGGCUUUCACAGACUGAGCCGUUCUUUUCUGACCCUCCUCUAUGAAUCAUUCUCGGCGGACAAGAGCAACCCUUCUCUUCUCCGCCCAUCUAUGAACCAGCAGCUAGAUGGACUACAAUUCCCUGCAUGCAAUGGGGUUAUCCCGCUCUUCCAUCUGAUUUACUGGAGUGCCAAUGGCAUGCUGGGAUUAGUAGUCAUCCAGACGGAAAGACUUCCCUCCAAGGGCAUGCUGGGAACUGUGGUACGGCGAGGGCCGGAAAUGGGAGUCUGGCGGCCGCCUGAGGCCAGCGGCGGGGAGACCGUUAGAGGGAGGGUCUAAGCCUGUGCCUUGGUUUUGUUCCUUACGCUGCUGAAUGUCCUGCUCCAGCCUCGGCUCGUUGGGCUGGCUGGACUGGCUGAUGGUCGCGGAAACUGCCACCCCUUGGUGGGAACUGUCAAGCACCGGUUUAAUUCCCUUUUCUCACUCAGCGGUUUCGGUCUCGGAAAUUCCUUCCACUCUUGUUUGCAUUCUUAUUAUGUACUCGGCUACAGUAACGUGGGAAAUAAUCUAAGGCAGUUAUCUGGAUAAAAGAGGACUUGGCGUUUUUGUUUUUUUUUUUGCCUUAAUACUAAUCUUUAGCAUACAUUUCGUGCAUCGGGCUCCAGACUUUCUUAGCUUGAGUUGAUGGAGAGUGGAUGAAUUCUCCAAGUAACUCCAAGUUUUUCAUUCCAAGCAGCCUUUAUCAGUAAUCAUCCUUGAUGCCUCUCUUACCAGUCUCUCCUUCCUGAGCUGUGCUGAAGAGAAACUAGAAGGGGCAAAAGUUUAUUCAUCUAAUAAUUGAAUUUCUUCUAUGUUGCUAGAUAUUCUGCUAGAUACUGGGAAUUUGGAGAUAAGAAUAAAUGGGACUUGAGUUUAUGGA